AGAGCGUCUGCAGAGGUUCCUUGGCCUGAGCUCUGCGAGUGGUACCUGGGAAACCGGCCGGGCUGCCUCAACCGGCAGGGAGGGGAGCGGGGGAGGGGAGCCAGCUGAUCUGGCACUCAGCACUCACUGUAGGACUCAGAGAAGCCAGACUUCCCAGUAGGUAGGAGUCAGAAAAUCGCACUGGGUGAAGGAGGACACAGCGGGCAGAGGAACAGUAUGUGCAAAGGCAUGGAAGGCGCAGAAGAGGUGCUGCGCCAAAGGCCAGUGAAAGAUGAAACAGAGAGUGGCGGGGGAUGGAAACAGAAGAGCUGGAGAGGGACAGGGAAACAAAUCGCCAGCUUCACUGGAAUGACAACUAUGGUUACAUGGCCAGAAAGGAAAGAACAGGAGGAACCAGUUAACCCUCCCUCCCUGCAAAGUGAGAGAAAACCUCUGCAAUUCUCCAACCUGAUUUUUCAAAGGCUUCAACACUCCUUUAACAAAUGCGUGGUGAACCUCUAAGAGAAGAAUGUAUGAGACAGCUUUUCCAAACCUCUUUUGCCUGCCAUGGAAUCCUCGUUUGCUGAAACAUACUGAAAGAAUGGUGUCCUGAACAAGUUUGGAGAAACACCUGCUCUGGCACAGAGGUCACGCCCACAUGAGACGCAGUAUGCCGACUGAGCGGAGGAAAAAAAACAUCGUCUCCCACACAUACUCCACGUCAGACACGAAUACACAGUGACAAAACACAGUCAUAUCUUAAGGAAUAAUUUAAGUAAUAUAUCUGGAAAGUCAGUAAGGAUGUUGGAAAGACAUUUUGUGGUGUGAAAAAGAGAGCUCAACAGGGUAUAUGGAAAAGGAUCCCAUUUUUGCUUCGGAAAAAAAGGUGUAUCUUAUUGAUUACUCGUCACCUCCAUUCCAACCACCAUGAGAAUUAUAAGUUUCUGGUGGCAAGACUGUCAAAUCAUCUAGACCAUUCUGAGCAUGCUUAAAAUUUCAGGAUGUGUUUAUAUUAAUAGACUAUGUUUUGAUUGCACUGUCUUGUUAUGUUUUAUUUUUUAUUUUAAAAUGUGUAUAUAUUUUUUUGUUUUACCUACAGAAUGCUGUUUACUUCAUAAUAACAAUUAUGAAAUAAACAUUUUUAUUA